rnacentral:lncRNA from 1 species
GAAGGGGACAGACUCCCCACGUGACUUCUGGGCCGGGCCGGGCGCGGGGCUGCCGGCUGGCUGACGCGGACAGAGGUGGAAAAGUCCCCGGAGAUGCCACGGGGCAGGCCGGGGCUGCCGGCCCCCGCUUCCCGGAGCGGCCCGAGCACUUCCCGGGCUCCCGGGAGGACUUAGAAAAUCACGGCGGGGUGGGGGGUGGGGGUCGCUGUCAAACCGAAACCAUGCACGUCAUCAGAGAAGGACCGUGACGACGGAGGAAUUGUCCGCAGUCUGUCAGGAAUUGUGUGCAGCCUGUCACUUCCGGCCCAGAGGGUCUUUCUAAGGCAGACGGACAGACAGAGCCCACAAGUCGUAGAGGAAAGGACCGAGCCGCUUGGCCGCGGAAAAGUUUACAACACAAAACGGGUCUCCCUCCGCACGGGGCCACAGCAAAGCCCAAAGACGACACGCGGGGGAGCAUGGGUGCAGAUGCACGUGUGGUGAUAAGAAUAUGGAUUUCAGCAGGGCUUCCCGUCCUCAUCAACAAGCAGAAGCACCCAAAUGCGGUGCACGUAUUUCCCUUCCAAAAAAGAAGAACGGGAAAGGAGAUGUUAAAGGCAAGCAGAG